rnacentral:misc_RNA from 1 species
GCACAACACUGAACUUCUCCAUUUAGAUGGAGAAUAUUUCUUGUUCCAUUUACGUCCUUUUCUUUCUUAUAGCUCUUCUCUUAUACUAUCAUAGUUCAUUAAAGAAAUCAAAAUGGACAAACUUACAAAAAGCAAAGCUGCCUCCUGGUUCAAUGGGCUGGCCGUACAUAGGGGAAACUCUCCAACUGUACUCUCAAGAUCCAAGUGUCCUCUUUGCGGUCAAAAGAAAUGAAGCUCAAUGGAACAUUUGUGUGCAUGGCAUUUGAAGAACAUAUAUUACUUCACGUGGGAGUCAGCAUCAGUGGGCCUAAGAAGAUCCAAGUAUUCCAGAUGCUUGAGUGGCUUGUUUUCUAGCCCACGCACUCUUAGUCUGGAAUGUUCCAACAGGAAUGAACCUCAAUGAUAGAUCUGGA